CUUGGCGCUGCUACACAUGCAGUCGAACGGUAACAGGUCUUCGGAUGCUGACGAGUGGCGGACGGGUGAGUAAUGCGUAGGAAUCUGUCUUUGAGUGGGGGACAACCCAGGGAAACUUGGGCUAAUACCGCAUAAGCCCUGAGGGGGAAAGCGGGGGAUCUUCGGACCUCGCGCUGGAAGAGGAGCCUACGUCUGAUUAGCUAGUUGGUAGGGUAAAGGCCUACCAAGGCGACGAUCGGUAGCUGGUCUGAGAGGACGACCAGCCACACUGGGACUGAGACACGGGCCAGACUCCUACGGGAGGCAGCAGUGAGGAAUAUUGCGCAAUGGGGGCAACCCUGACGCAGCAACGCCGCGUGUGGGAAGAAGGCUUUCGGGUUGUAAACCACUUUUGCCCGGGACGAAAGGGGGGGCCUGAAUAAGGUCACCCGAUGACGGUACCGGGAGAAUAAGCCACGGCUAACUCUGUGCCAGCAGCCGCGGUAAGACAGAGGUGGCAAGCGUUGUUCGGAGUUACUGGGCGUAAAGAGUCUGUAGGUGGUCUGUCAAGUCUUUGGUGAAAGGCCGUGGCUUAACCAUGGGAAUGCCAAAGAGACUGGCAGACUGGAGGCUGGGAGAGGGAAGCGGAAUUUCUGGUGUAGCGGUGAAAUGCGUAGAUAUCAGAAGGAAGGCCGGUGGCGAAGGCGGCUUCCUGGAACAGACCUGACACUGAGAGACGAAAGCGUGGGGAGCAAACAGGAUUAGAUACCCUGGUAGUCCACGCCCUAAACGAUGGGUACUAAGUGUGGG
rnacentral:rRNA from 1 species